GGUAUGUAAAGCUCUAUCAGCAGGGAAGAUAAUGACGGUACCUGACUAAGAAGCACCGGCUAAAUACGUGCCAGCAGCCGCGGUAAUACGCAUGGUGCAAGCGUUAUCCGGAUUUACUGGGUGUAAAGGGAGCGCAGGCGGUGCGGCAAGUCUGAUGUGAAAGCCCGGGGCUCAGCCCCGGUACUGCAUUGGAAACUGUCGUACUAGAGUGUCGGAGGGGUAAGCGGAAUUCCUAGUGUAGCGGUGAAAUGCGUAGAUAUUAGGAGGAACACCAGUGGCGAAGGCGGCUUACUGGACGAUAACUGACGCUGAGGCUCGAAAGCGUGGGGAGCAAACAGGAUUAGAUACCCUGGUAGUCCACGCCGUAAA
rnacentral:rRNA from 1 species